ACACAUCGAUUGGGAAAUCCAUAUUGAAUUUCCCACAUUCAUCCAAAAACUGCCGUUUCUUCUCGAUUAAAUUCUGCCAAUGUAAGCGACGUUCUUUGAAAAUCUCUAAGGAAGCAUCCUCAUUGGCCUCCAAUUCGGCUAUGGUUGACUCCCAUCUCAAGAGGAACUUUUCAGCCUCAUUUUGUAGAUUAUGCAUUUGAGUUUGUGCUUGAUUCUUAAUCAAAUCCACUUGACGUUGCAGUAUGACGGCAUGAUUCUCCAAUAGCGGAUGCAGUUGCUCCCAUUGUUGCAAGAUGCUGGCCAAAGCUGUAACCCGUUCCUUGCACCAACCAGCCAAACAUGAAUCCUUUGCCUUGACUCUCUCCAAAGUCUCUGCUAUAGUGGGAACGUUCUUGAGAAAUUUCAGAGCAUUUUGUAGAAAUUCCUGUAUAGCGUCUACAUCCGUUAGAAUUGAGGCUCUUAGACUAUUAGCCAAAGCCUCCCAAUAGCGUCGACUGAUGAACUCAAUGUCACUCCUUAGGGGCAGCACAUUGAUCACUAUGCAAUCGAUUGAUUCUUCAGAUUGUUGCAAUUUGGCUAAUUGUUGACUAAAGUGUUUGCAAGAACGAAAAUUUCUAUCCCAAUCUUCAGCCUGAUUCAGGUGUAUGCCACACAGUUGUUCCACAUCCACACAACCCAAGGCAAUCCAAGAGGACCGAAAUGUUGGCGAUUCAAUCUCACCAUAGUCUUGAAGAGAUUUCCACUCUGCUCGGAGAGACCAUGAAAAUUCGAUGGUCUAUCGAUAAAACGCCUCAAUUGACUGUAGUAUAUAUCACGUAUCUCCUCUUCGGCGGGACUAUAGCAUAGUUCCCGGUUUCGUAAUACUAAUUUUAUGUGUAUAUCCGGUAAUUUGUUAUUCAUAUCAAGUAAACCAAGUAUAUAUUGAUAUUCAAGCACUUUAUACAACUGAUGAUCCCAAUGCAAUUUAAAGGCAUCCAAAUUGGUAUAACCCUGACGCUCUAGAGUCAUUAAAAGAUCGCGCAAAUGUCUGAGCUCAUCCUUCCAGAUUUGAUUUUGUGUAAACAAAUCAGUGGACAUUAGUUUCAUGAUCUGGGGGAAUUUAAUCAUUAUUGGAAAUGUUAAUCAUAUUGGUAUGGGAUUAUAAAGGAUAUGUAACCUGUUAUUGAAGUAAGACUUACCGUUCUCUUGGCCUGUUCAUGAUAGCCAACUAAUAGGGUAUUAUCCGAGGAUAGUUUCGACACGGCUGCUUGUAAGGUAUUGACAUAACGCUGGACAGAGGUCUCUUCCUGCCAGGCGACAGUUUCACUUUGCACUAGACGCUGCAGUUCCAAGGCAUUCUUUAGCAUAAUAGGCCGCUGGCAGGGAAUCAUGCGAUCUCCGAUGGUAUUGUGAAAUGUGGCUAUUUGCUGUAAGCGACGGGCAUAGCACAUAUACUUGGCCGCAUGAGUGGCGGCAGCACGUAACUCCAAGGGAACAUUGUAGCCAAGAUUCUCGAAUUCGCGCACAUCCUGACAGAAGGUAACCAAUUUGGGAUUGAAAGUGACACGCAUCAGUUGCCUGCCUUCCUUCUCGAAUUUUACUACAGCCUGGUCGUCCCGUAGUUUCAGUUCACCGCUCUUUACGGCGGUCGAGCACUGACCCGACCAGAUUUCAAAAUUAGUACGCAACAAGGAUUCAGUUUCCUCUUUGAUUUCUUGGACUGCCUUGUUAAUCUUGUCGAAACCUUCCCGUCCGCUUAUCAAAUGGCUAACCUUUUCAAUUUCCUGAAUUUGAUAUUGGACCACUUUGAGCCAACGGCAUUCGUUGCAGAUCACUGACAAGUGACCAGUAUCGGGUUCCAUAUUCGUAUCCGUCAUAGCUUUACGCAAAUCUUGCAGCAAUAAAUGCAGUGACUGCAGGAAUUGCUCCCUUUCUAUGGUCAAAAGUUCGAGGACAGCAGGACGUUGUAUCAGAGUCUCGUAUUUGGAGAAUAUAUAGAUAACCUGUCGAGGAUUACUCAAAUGUUGAUGUAACUGGGUUUUCAAUGCCGAUGCAAUGCGUUCAUCAAUUGGUUGCAACACCUGCUCGAAAUGUUGCAGGGCUUUUUGCCACUUGGCCUGACCCAGACUGGUGGUGUCGAAGAUGUUGAAAUCCGUAAAUGGUGCCUGCUCCUGAAACAUCUCCUGCAGCUCUGAGUCAUUUAAAAGUGUGGCUAUCUGUUUAUACAAUUGCUUAAUAUUUCGUAUUUCACUGAGACGUUCUUUAAACUGUUGCCCACGUUUGGGUACAUGAGGAUCCCCUACCCACGGAUGUUUUACAUAAUUGGGCCAAAAGAGUCGUGUCAAUGAAUCACACAAUUGUAUCCAGGCAUCCACAGUGUCGAUACAUUGGCUCAUCAAAUUAUUCACAUGAUACGAAUUCAGGCUCCAAAUGUCUUCCGCCAUGAGUUGAGUUAGACAAGCCUCAAGCAGACGUUUCGCUAUAAUGUCCAAUAGAUCGGCCAUACGUUGCUGGGGAUAAUUGUAGGGCAAACGCCACAGUUCAUCUAGAUUAUUAUGGGCAUGAUCGAGGAACUCUUCAAUGGUUGUGCCAUGACUAUUGACAGUCCCGCCAUCA